rnacentral:rRNA from 1 species
ACGAACGCUGGCGGCUGCUUAACACAUGCAAGUCGAACGGAGUGGCGAACGGGUGAGUAACGCGUGAGCAACCUGCCUAUGACAGUGGGAUAGCCUCGGGAAACCGGGAUUAAUACCGCAUAGUCAAAGAUGGGCUCGCGUGUGAUUAGCUAGUUGGUGAGAUAACAGCCCACCAAGGCUACGAUCAGUAGCCGGUAUUAGAGGAUGAACGGACACAUUGUAACUGAGAAACAGUCCAAACUCCUACGUGAGGGGGCAGUGGGGAAUAUUGCACAAUGGGGGAAACCAUGAUGCAGCGACGCCGCGUGAACGAAGAAGGUAUUCGUAUAGUAAAGUUCUGUCCUAUGGGAAGCAGUACCAUAGAAGAAAGCUCCGGCUAAAUACGUGCCAGCAGCCGCGGUAAUUC